UUAUCAGUGAAGCUAAAAUCCAAACUAAUUGAUUUUGAUUUUAAAAAAUCAAGUAUAAGAAAGUAAUUUACUCAGAACAGAUAUGAUAAGAAUUUUUUACUGUGCGAAUUUACUUUUGAGUUUGAUUUACUACAUUUAAUGCGUUGUAAAAAAAAAAAAAAAAAAAAGAGUUCAAAAGUUUCAUCUGAAAUAAAUAAUUAGAAUCUUUAGAUCAACCCAAACAAAAACAAAUUUUACUGGGUCUUCUGCAGAACUGAUUGCUGAAAUUUAUUUAUCUGUAGCAAAUAUUGAAGAUAUAACACCUCCCUGUUUGGGAAGAGGCUGGUACAUUGAUGGUUCUUUAUCUACAGAUCAUAUUGCCUGCAUUUCCUAAUCCUUAAAAAUAAAGAUCCUAUUAAAGACAAGAUGUGAAAGCACAAACACCAGCACAGUACCACAGAAAGCAGACAGCAAUAUUGAAAAAUAAAUUUAUGUCCAUGCCUGCUUGAUAAAAAACAGGGAAGCUGUUGGAGAAGAAAACAAAACAUUGAAAGGUCUUUCCCACGCCAUGGGACUGCUGGCCAUUCUGACAACUUUGGUCUGUUCCAGGAUGGUGUAGGGAAUUGUCAUUUCCUUAAUUUGGAUCUCAGUGAGGGAAGGUAACUGUGACACCUCAUCAGGUUGGGCUCCAGUUUUCUCAUCACCACCGGAAUUUUAGUCUGCUUCUUGAUGUUCCUUAACGUGCCUUCUCGGAACUAGUGAAUCUCAGCUUCUUUUUGUAUGAACAUGGGCAGAACACCUUUUCUGCUAGAAACGCCCAUAAGCUAGCACACAGUGAGCUAAAUGAAUGAACUGAUUAUGACUGAAAGGAUUUCACAUCAUUUUCCCAGAAAUAAAUCAUUUUUUCCUGUCUAAUACUGUUCCAAAAUACAUUAAGAUAAAGAGGCUUCAUAGCUUGUUUGGAAGGUUGUCAGGCAACAUCUUCCCAAAGCAGCAAUCUGAAAUUAAGAAACCUCCCCAAGAAGUUUGUUCAGCGUCUGGCUGGGGGCUCAUUUUAUCCCUGCCACGUAAAUCUGGACUUUGUACAUCUCUCUUCUUCCCAUCAGUGCUGGAUCAACAGUCAUGACAAAAUCAUAAAGCUGCGUGUGAACUGUCAGAAGAGAAGCCUGGUUUCUUUUCUUGAUCCUGGAUUGGCUGAAUUAUUGUCUUGACUUGAAGAGUGCCUGGAGAUAUCUCAGGGGCCUUGCACAGUACCUCCUCAGUAAAAGUUUAUGGUCUAUUGUGCAAGAGGGACAAAUGUGGGCAGGAAAAUGGAGACAUCACUUGUCCUGGGCUACACAAUAUGCUACCCAUUUGUGCCGACUGUUCAUUUAAAUUCAUCACGACACAAGAAAGCUUACUGCAACAGGGGCCAUGAAUUUUGAUUGGGACCCUUCUGUACAACAAAGAGAGACAAGAAGAAAUGAAAGUGCAAUGGACGAAUCUGGAGUCAGAACCACAGCUAUGGUAAGUUCCCCAUUUAUAAGGAAACAUCAUCUUCAUCUGCUAUGGCAUUUGGCCUGUUCUUCUUUUUCAUACUGCUAAAUAGAAUGUGUAUCUAUGCAUACACAGAGAGAGUAUCUGUAGUGUAAUGCUUAUAUUGUAAAAUACAUGUGCUUUAGAAGUUAUGGGCUCAGUUUAUAUGGCAUACACAGGGUCUGACUGUGUCAGACCACGGGGUAUGAAGUCACCACAAGGAUCGUCAUGCCAGCCUUUCCCAGCUACAAGCAAUUGUAUACUUGAUGCUUAAUCCACAAGGAUUCACAAGUCUGCUCCAUGUACAACAGCCCCGGAACCCUUCUGUUCACCUCUAGCAAAUACAAGAUGUCAGGUUACUGAC